GACGAACGCUGGCGGCGUGCUUAACACAUGCAAGUCGAACGGAAAGGCCCUGCUUGCAGGGUACUCGAGUGGCGAACGGGUGAGUAACACGUGGGUGAUCUGCCCUGCACUUCGGGAUAAGCCAGGGAAACUGGGUCUAAUACCGGAUAGGAGCCAUUUUUAGUGUGAUGGUUGGAAAGUUUUUUCGGUGUAGGAUGAGCUCGCGGCCUAUCAGCUUGUUGGUGGGGUAAUGGCCUACCAAGGCGGCGACGGGUAGCCGGCCUGAGAGGGUGGACGGCCACAUUGGGACUGAGAUACGGCCCAGACUCCUACGGGAGGCAGCAGUGGGGAAUAUUGCACAAUGGGCGCAAGCCUGAUGCAGCGACGCCGCGUGGGGGAUGACGGCCUUCGGGUUGUAAACUCCUUUCGCUAGGGACGAAGCUUUUUGUGACGGUACCUAGAUAAGAAGCACCGGCUAACUACGUG
rnacentral:rRNA from 1 species